GGUCAGCUAGCUCAGUUGGUUAGAGCGCGCGGUUCACAUCCGCGAGGUCGAGGGUUCGAGUCCCCCGCUGACCACCA
rnacentral:tRNA from 1 species